AGCGAACGCUGGCGGCAGGCUUAACACAUGCAAGUCGAGCGCCCGUAGCAAUACGGGAGCGGCAGACGGGUGAGUAACACGUGGGAACGUGCCCUUUGGUUCGGAGUAACUCAGGGAAACUUGAGCUAAUACCGGAUAAGUCCGUAAGGAGAAAGAUUUAUCGCCGAAGGAGCGGCCCGCGUCCGAUUAGCUAGUUGGUGAGGUAAUGGCUCACCAAGGCUACGAUCGGUAGCUGGUCUGAGAGGAUGACCAGCCACACUGGGACUGAGACACGGCCCAGACUCCUACGGGAGGCAGCAGUGGGGAAUAUUGGACAAUGGGGGCAACCCUGAUCCAGCCAUGCCGCGUGGAUGAUGAAGGCCUUAGGGUUGUAAAGUCCUUUUAACGGGGAGGAUAAUGACGGUACCCGUAGAAUAAGCCCCGGCUAACUUCGUGCCAGCCGCCGCCGUAA
rnacentral:rRNA from 1 species